rnacentral:rRNA from 1 species
UUAAACGUUGAUACCACGUUAAAUGAAACGGUUUUCGUACGAUCACCGAAGUUAAGCAACGUCGGGCGCGGUCGGUACUUGGAUGAGUGCGCGUGACACCGCGUGACGUUGGAU